UACGUAGGGGGCAAGAGUUAUCCGGAUUUACUGGGUGUAAAGGGAGCGUAGACGGGGAUGUAAGUCUGGAGUGAAAGCCCGGUGCUCAACCCCGGGACUGCGUUGGAAACUGUGUUGCUAGAGUGCAGGAGAGGUAAGUGGAAUUCCUAGUGUAGCGGUGAAAUGCGUAGAUAUUAGGAGGAACACCAGUGGCGAAGGCGUCUUACUGGACUGUAGCUGACGUUGAGGCUCGAAAGCGUGGGGAGCAAACACG
rnacentral:rRNA from 1 species